GUGUCGCGUCCCGGGACUGGACGACAGGAGGCAUGUUCUGCGCUAGCACCGUGACUUUGUUCCCAGCGUGGGGACUGUGGGAGAGAUGGAGAGAGACUGGUACAGAAAUGGUGAGACAAGGAGAGAGCCAUAAAGAGGAAGACAGAGAGAAAGAAGACAAAUGCAUAAAGAGGUUCAGAGACGUGUGACUGGAGAUCGAAGGCCUGGUUUUAGGGCUAGCGAACACCUUCUCACUUUGGUUUUGGUCCACAGAAGACUGGUGAUACAGAGCAUCCUCGCCAGGAGAGGCAGAGUCCAUGGAGCAGCCGAGACAGCUGUGGAAGAGAAGGUGCCAUGCGGAGCUACUGAGAGAGAGGGAAGGGCACCCCAUCACUACACACAGCAAAAAAUGACCUUCUGCCAAAGAAGCUGAUGGUUCAGGAAGAAAAUAGAGCUGACUAUCCCUGAAAAGGAAACGUGGUACUGUUUUGCUUUAUCACAAAUACAAACAAAAGGUUUAAAGAUGGAAAGAAAAGAACAGAAAGGAAAAAGAGUGAAAAGCCAGGAAAAGCACCUAGGAGGAACAGCCCUCUGCUGCCAUACU
rnacentral:antisense_RNA from 1 species